GCGGGUGUAGCUCAGUUGGUUAGAGCGCCACGCUCAUAACGUGGAGGUCACGAUUUCAAAUAUCGUCACCCGCA
rnacentral:tRNA from 1 species